UACAGAGGUCUCAAGCGUUGUUCGGAUUCAUUGGGCGUAAAGGGUGCGUAGGCGGCGCGGUAAGUCGGGUGUGAAAUCUCGGAGCUUAACUCCGAAACUGCAUUCGAUACUGCCGUGCUUGAGGACUGGAGAGGAGACUGGAAUUUACGGUGUAGCGGUGAAAUGCGUAGAUAUCGGAAGGAAGACCAGUGGCGAAGGCGGGGCUCUGGACAGUUCCUGACGCUGAGGCACGAAGGUCAGGGGAGCAAACGGG
rnacentral:rRNA from 1 species